rnacentral:rRNA from 1 species
UACGAAGGGGGCUAGCGUUGCUCGGAAUCACUGGGCGUAAAGGGUGCGUAGGCGGGCCUUUAAGUCAGGGGUGAAAUCCUGGAGCUCAACUCCAGAACUGCCUUUGAUACUGAGGAUCUUGAGUUCGGGAGAGGUGAGUGGAAUUCCGAGUGUAGAGGUGAAAUUCGUAGAUAUUCGGAAGAACACCAGUGGCGAAGGCGGCUCACUGGCUCGGAACUGACGCUGAGGUGCGAAAGCGUGGGGAGCAAACAGG